rnacentral:sRNA from 1 species
UUUUAAAAAAUAAAUUGUUCUCGCGGUGUACCGCGGGUUAAAAUUUAGUAUGAUUGUAAAUUACAAAACUUACCA